GCUGGCGGCAGGCCUAACACAUGCAAGUCGAACGGAGUUAUAUUGUAGCUUGCUAUGGUAUAACUUAGUGGCAGACGGGUGAGUAAUGUAUAGGAAUCUACCUAGUAGUACGGAAUAAUUGUUGGAAACGGCAACUAAUACCGUAUACGCCCUACGGGGGAAAAAUUUAUUGCUAUUAGAUGAGCCUAUAUUAGAUUAGCUAGUUGGUGGAGUAAUAGCCUACCAAGGCAAUGAUCUAUAGCUGAUCUGAGAGGAUGAUCAGCCACACUGGAACUGAGAUACGGUCCAGACUCCUACGGGAGGCAGCAGUGGGGAAUAUUGGACAAUGGGCGAAAGCCUGAUCCAGCCAUGCCGCAUGAGUGAAGAAGGCCUUUGGGUUGUAAAGCUCUUUUAGUGAGGAAGAUAAUGACGGUACUCACAGAAGAAGUCCUGGCUAACUCCGUGCCAGCAGCCGCGGUAAUACGGAGAGGGCUAGCGUUAUUCGGAAUUAUUGGGCGUAAAGGGCGCGUAGGCGGAUUAGUAAGUUAAAAGUGAAAUCCCAAGGCUCAACCUUGGAAUUGCUUUUAAAACUGCUAAUCUAGAGAUUGAAAGAGGAUAGAGGAAUUCCUAGUGUAGAGGUGAAAUUCGUAAAUAUUAGGAGGAACACCAGUGGCGAAGGCGUCUAUCUGGUUCAAAUCUGACGCUGAGGCGCGAAGGCGUGGGGAGCAAACAGGAUUAGAUACCCUGGUAGUCCACGCUGUAAACGAUGAAUGUUAAAUAUGGGAAGUUUUACUUUCUGUAUUACAGCUAA
rnacentral:rRNA from 1 species